rnacentral:rRNA from 1 species
UAACUCAAGUGGCGGACGGGUGAGUAACACGUAAGAAUUUACCUUCAGGAGGGGGACAACAGUUGGAAACGACUGCUAAUACCCCAUAUGCUUUCGAGUGAAAUGGAUUUUCCGCCUGAAGAGAAGCUUGCGGCUGAUUAGCUUGUUGGUGGGGUAAUGGCUCACCAAGGCGACGAUCAGUAUCUGGUUUGAGAGGACGAUCAGACACACUGGAACUGAGACACGGUCCAGACUCCUCCGGGAGGCAGCAGUGGGGAAUUUUCCGCAAUGGGCGAAAGCCUGACGGAGCAAUACCGCGUGAGGGAUGACGGCCUAUGGGUUGUAAACCUCUUUUUUCAGGGAGGAAUCAAAUGACGUGUACCUGAAGAAUAAGCAUCGGCUAACUCCGUGCCAGCAGCCGCGGUAAGACGGAGGAUGCAAGUGUUAUCCGGAAUCACUGGGCGUAAAGCGUCUGUAGGUGGUUUAAUAAGUCAACUGUUAAAUCUUGAGGCUCAACCUCAAAAUCGCAGUCGAAACUAUUAGACUAGAGUAUAGUAGGGGUAAAGGGAAUUUCCAGUGGAGCGGUGAAAUGCGUAGAUAUUGGAAGGAACACCGAUGGCGAAGGCACUUUACUGGGCUAUUACUAACACUCAGAGACGAAAGCUAGGGUAGCAAAUGGGAUUAGAUACCCUGGUAGUCCCCUGAAUUCCAGCACACU